GUGCUUACUUCAGCAGCACAUAUACUAAAAUUGGAAUGAUACAGAGAUUAGCACGGCCCCUGAGCAAGGAUGACAUGCAUAUUCAUGAUGCAUGAAUAUAUAUA
ensembl:snRNA U6 U6 spliceosomal RNA